rnacentral:rRNA from 1 species
UACGUAGGGUGCAAGCGUUAAUCGGAAUUACUGGGCGUAAAGCGUGCGCAGGCGGCUUUGCAAGACAGAUGUGAAAUCCCCGGGCUUAACCUGGGAACUGCAUUUGUGACUGCAUGGCUGGAGUGCGGCAGAGGGGGAUGGAAUUCCGCGUGUAGCAGUGAAAUGCGUAGAUAUCGAGAGGAACACCAGUGGCGAAGGCGAGUCCCUGGACAACUACUGACACUGAGGCACGAAAGCUAGGGGAGCAAACAGG